rnacentral:rRNA from 1 species
UUUAAGGUCUAAUCUGCCCUAUGAGGAGUUAAAUGGCCGCGGUAUUUUGACCGUGCAAAGGUAGCAUAAUAAUUAGUUUUUUAAUUGAAAGCUGGAAUGAAUGAUUGGACGAGAAAAUUACUGUCUCAGAUUAAUUUAAUUAGAAUUUUAUUUUUAAGUUAAAAAGCUUAAAUUUUUUUAAAAGACGAGAAGACCCUAUAGAGUUUUAUAUGUUUUAUUAUUUUAAAAUUUUUAGAAUUAUUGGUUUGUUAUUUUAAAAUAUAUUUUAUUGGGGUGAUAGAAAAAUUGAAUUAACUUUUUUUAUAUUAAAACAUUUAUAUAUGAUUAAAUGAUCCAUUUUUUAUGAUUAUAAGAUUUAAUUACCUUAGGGAUAACAGCGUAAUUUUUCUUUAGAGUUCUUAUCGAAAGAAGAGAUUGCGACCUCGAUGUUGGAUUAAAAUAGACGUUUGGUGUAGGGGCUAAAUAGUUAGGUCUGUUCGACCUUUAAAAUUUUACA